rnacentral:rRNA from 1 species
GCCGGGCGGCAGGCUACACAUGCAAGUCGAACGGUAGCACAGAGAGCUUGCUCUCGGGUGACGAGUGGCGGACGGGUGAGUAAUGUCUGGGAAACUGCCUGAUGGAGGGGGAUAACUACUGGAAACGGUAGCUAAUACCGCAUAACGUCGCAAGACCAAAGAGGGGGACCUUCGGGCCUCUUGCCAUCAGAUGUGCCCAGAUGGGAUUAGCUAGUAGGUGGGGUAACGGCUCACCUAGGCGACGAUCCCUAGCUGGUCUGAGAGGAUGACCAGCCACACUGGAACUGAGACACGGUCCAGACUCCUACGGGAGGCAGCAGUGGGGAAUAUUGCACAAUGGGCGCAAGCCUGAUGCAGCCAUGCCGCGUGUAUGAAGAAGGCCUUCGGGUUGUAAAGUACUUUCAGCGGGGAGGAAGGUGUUGCGGUUAAUAACCGCAGCAAUUGACGUUACCCGCAGAAGAAGCACCGGCUAACUCCGUGCCAGCAGCCGCGGUAAUACGGAGGGUGCAAGCGUUAAUCGGAAUUACUGGGCGUAAAGCGCACGCAGGCGGUCUGUCAAGUCGGAUGUGAAAUCCCCGGGCUCAACCUGGGAACUGCAUUCGAAACUGGCAGGCUAGAGUCUUGUAGAGGGGGGUAGAAUUCCAGGUGUAGCGGUGAAAUGCGUAGAGAUCUGGAGGAAUACCGGUGGCGAAGGCGGCCCCCUGGACAAAGACUGACGCUCAGGUGCGAAAGCGUGGGGAGCAAACAGGAUUAGAUACCCUGGUAGUCCACGCCGUAAACGAUGUCGACUUGGAGGUUGUGCCCUUGAGGCGUGGCUUCCGGAGCUAACGCGUUAAGUCGACCGCCUGGGGAGUACGGCCGCAAGGUUAAAACUCAAAUGAAUUGACGGGGGCCCGCACAAGCGGUGGAGCAUGUGGUUUAAUUCGAUGCAACGCGAAGAACCUUACCUACUCUUGACAUCCAGAGAACUUUCCAGAGAUGGAUUGGUGCCUUCGGGAACUCUGAGACAGGUGCUGCAUGGCUGUCGUCAGCUCGUGUUGUGAAAUGUUGGGUUAAGUCCCGCAACGAGCGCAACCCUUAUCCUUUGUUGCCAGCGGUCCGGCCGGGAACUCAAAGGAGACUGCCAGUGAUAAACUGGAGGAAGGUGGGGAUGACGUCAAGUCAUCAUGGCCCUUACGAGUAGGGCUACACACGUGCUACAAUGGCGCAUACAAAGAGAAGCGAACUCGCGAGAGCAAGCGGACCUCAUAAAGUGCGUCGUAGUCCGGAUUGGAGUCUGCAACUCGACUCCAUGAAGUCGGAAUCGCUAGUAAUCGUAGAUCAGAAUGCUACGGUGAAUACGUUCCCGGGCCUUGUACACACCGCCCGUCACACCAUGGGAGUGGGUUGCAAAAGAAGUAGGUAGCUUAACCUUCGGGAGGGCGCUACCACUUUGGAUUCCAUGC